AGUGGGGAAUCUUGGACAAUGGGCGCAAGCCUGAUCCAGCCAUGCCGCGUGUGUGAUGAAGGCCUUAGGGUCGUAAAGCACUUUCGCCAGAGAUGAUAAUGACAGUAUCUGGUAAAGAAACCCCGGCUAACUCCGUGCCAGCAGCCGCGGUAAUACGGAGGGGGUUAGCGUUGUUCGGAAUUACUGGGCGUAAAGCGUACGUAGGCGGAUUAGAAAGUAUGGGGUGAAAUCCCAGGGCUCAACCCUGGAACUGCCUCAUAAACUCCUAGUCUAGAGUUCGAGAGAGGUGAGUGGAAUUCCGAGUGUAGAGGUGAAAUUCGUAGAUAUUCGGAGGAACACCAGUGGCGAAGGCGGCUCACUGGCUCGAUACUGACGCUGAGGUACGAAAGUGUGGGGAGCAAA
rnacentral:rRNA from 1 species